rnacentral:rRNA from 1 species
GAGUUUGAUCCUGGCUCAGGACGAACGCUGGCGGCGUGCUUAACACAUGCAAGUCGAACGGUAAGGCUCCAGCUUGCUGGGGUACACGAGUGGCGAACGGGUGAGUAACACGUGGGUGACCUGCCCUGCACUUCGGGAUAAGCCUGGGAAACUGGGUCUAAUACCGGAUAGGACCGCACCGUGAGGGUGUGGUGGAAAGUUUUUUCGGUGUGGGAUGGGCCCGCGGCCUAUCAGCUUGUUGGUGGGGUAAUGGCCUACCAAGGCGGCGACGGGUAGCCGGCCUGAGAGGGUGGACGGCCACAUUGGGACUGAGACACGGCCCAGACUCCUACGGGAGGCAGCAGUGGGGAAUAUUGCACAAUGGGCGGAAGCCUGAUGCAGCGACGCCGCGUGGGGAUGACGGCCUCGGUUGUAACGU